AGCGUACACGGUGGAUGCCCUGGCAGUCAGAGGCGAUGAAGGACGUGCUAAUCUGCGAUAAGCGUCGGUAAGGUGAUAUGAACCGUUAUAACCGGCGAUUUCCGAAUGGGGAAACCCAGUGUGAUUCGUCACACUAUCAUUAACUGAAUCCAUAGGUUAAUGAGGCGAACCGGGGGAACUGAAACAUCUAAGUACCCCGAGGAAAAGAAAUCAACCGAGAUUCCCCCAGUAGCGGCGAGCGAACGGGGAGCAGCCCAGAGCCUGAAUCAGUGUGUGUGUUAGUGGAAGCGUCUGGAAAGGCGCGCGAUACAGGGUGACAGCCCCGUACACAAAAAUGCACAUACUGUGAGCUCGAUGAGUAGGGCGGGACACGUGGUAUCCUGUCUGAAUAUGGGGGGACCAUCCUCCAAGGCUAAAUACUCCUGACUGACCGAUAGUGAACCAGUACCGUGAGGGAAAGGCGAAAAGAACCCCGGCGAGGGGAGUGAAAAAGAACCUGAAACCGUGUACGUACAAGCAGUGGGAGCACUCUUUGUGGUGUGACUGCGUACCUUUUGUAUAAUGGGUCAGCGACUUAUAUUCUGUAGCAAGGUUAACCGAAUAGGGGAGCCGAAGGGAAACCGAGUCUUAACUGGGCGUUAAGUUGCAGGGUAUAGACCCGAAACCCGGUGAUCUAGCCAUGGGCAGGUUGAAGGUUGGGUAACACUAACUGGAGGACCGAACCGACUAAUGUUGAAAAAUUAGCGGAUGACUUGUGGCUGGGGGUGAAAGGCCAAUCAAACCGGGAGAUAGCUGGUUCUCCCCGAAAGCUAUUUAGGUAGCGCCUCGUGAAUUCAUCUCCGGGGGUAGAGCACUGUUUCGGCAAGGGGGUCAUCCCGACUUACCAACCCGAUGCAAACUGCGAAUACCGGAGAAUGUUAUCACGGGAGACACACGGCGGGUGCUAACGUCCGUCGUGAAGAGGGAAACAACCCAGACCGCCAGCUAAGGUCCCAAAGUCAUGGUUAAGUGGGAAACGAUGUGGGAAGGCCCAGACAGCCAGGAUGUUGGCUUAGAAGCAGCCAUCAUUUAAAGAAAGCGUAAUAGCUCACUGGUCGAGUCGGCCUGCGCGGAAGAUGUAACGGGGCUAAACCAUGCACCGAAGCUGCGGCAGCGACACUAUGUGUUGUUGGGUAGGGGAGCGUUCUGUAAGCCUGUGAAGGUGUACUGUGAGGUAUGCUGGAGGUAUCAGAAGUGCGAAUGCUGACAUAAGUAACGAUAAAGCGGGUGAAAAGCCCGCUCGCCGGAAGACCAAGGGUUCCUGUCCAACGUUAAUCGGGGCAGGGUGAGUCGACCCCUAAGGCGAGGCCGAAAGGCGUAGUCGAUGGGAAACAGGUUAAUAUUCCUGUACUUGGUGUUACUGCGAAGGGGGGACGGAGAAGGCUAUGUUGGCCGGGCGACGGUUGUCCCGGUUUAAGCGUGUAGGCUGGUUUUCCAGGCAAAUCCGGAAAAUCAAGGCUGAGGCGUGAUGACGAGGCACUACGGUGCUGAAGCAACAAAUGCCCUGCUUCCAGGAAAAGCCUCUAAGCAUCAGGUAACAUCAAAUCGUACCCCAAACCGACACAGGUGGUCAGGUAGAGAAUACCAAGGCGCUUGAGAGAACUCGGGUGAAGGAACUAGGCAAAAUGGUGCCGUAACUUCGGGAGAAGGCACGCUGAUAUGUAGGUGAAGUGCCUUGCUGGUGGAGCUGAAAUCAGUCGAAGAUACCAGCUGGCUGCAACUGUUUAUUAAAAACACAGCACUGUGCAAACACGAAAGUGGACGUAUACGGUGUGACGCCUGCCCGGUGCCGGAAGGUUAAUUGAUGGGGUUAGCGCAAGCGAAGCUCUUGAUCGAAGCCCCGGUAAACGGCGGCCGUAACUAUAACGGUCCUAAGGUAGCGAAAUUCCUUGUCGGGUAAGUUCCGACCUGCACGAAUGGCGUAAUGAUGGCCAGGCUGUCUCCACCCGAGACUCAGUGAAAUUGAACUCGCUGUGAAGAUGCAGUGUACCCGCGGCAAGACGGAAAGACCCCGUGAACCUUUACUAUAGCUUGACACUGAACAUUGAGCCUUGAUGUGUAGGAUAGGUGGGAGGCUUUGAAGUGUGGACGCCAGUCUGCAUGGAGCCGACCUUGAAAUACCACCCUUUAAUGUUUGAUGUUCUAACGUUGGCCCGUGAUCGGGGUUGCGGACAGUGUCUGGUGGGUAGUUUGACUGGGGCGGUCUCCUCCUAAAGAGUAACGGAGGAGCACGAAGGUUGGCUAAUCCUGGUCGGACAUCAGGAGGUUAGUGCAAUGGCAUAAGCCAGCUUGACUGCGAGCGUGACGGCGCGAGCAGGUGCGAAAGCAGGUCAUAGUGAUCCGGUGGUUCUGAAUGGAAGGGCCAUCGCUCAACGGAUAAAAGGUACUCCGGGGAUAACAGGCUGAUACCGCCCAAGAGUUCAUAUCGACGGCGGUGUUUGGCACCUCGAUGUCGGCUCAUCACAUCCUGGGGCUGAAGUAGGUCCCAAGGGUAUGGCUGUUCGCCAUUUAAAGUGGUACGCGAGCUGGGUUUAGAACGUCGUGAGACAGUUCGGUCCCUAUCUGCCGUGGGCGCUGGAGAACUGAGGGGGGCUGCUCCUAGUACGAGAGGACCGGAGUGGACGCAUCACUGGUGUUCGGGUUGUCAUGCCAAUGGCACUGCCCGGUAGCUAAAUGCGGAAGAGAUAAGUGCUGAAAGCAUCUAAGCACGAAACUUGCCCCGAGAUGAGUUCU
rnacentral:rRNA from 1 species